GAAGGCGGACAAAAUGACUCAGUCUAGAUUGUGCCGUCCCUUUGUAGGUGCAUGGAUUGAUCACGCCUCAAGUCUGAUCACAAGGUUGAGAAAAUCAGCUGAACAAGAAUAUUUGAUAAGGAACUGUUCACAAAGAGAGUGCAGAGGAACUCCCUCAAAAACUUUGAAUGAAAAGGUUAUACAGAGAAGUUGAUGGAUAUACUGUAUGAAACAUUAAGCAAGAAUUCUGCUGCAUCAUGAAAAGUGGAUACUUAUGACUGUUCAAGGAAGCACCAAGAAACCUUAUGAGGAAGGAAGGAAUGCCUGGAAAACUGGCAAGUGAUUGGGAAGGAGUGUAUAUGUUUGAAGUGGUAUUAAGUGUAACACUCCUGGAUUCAGACCAUGGCAAUUAUCAUGGUUGACUGUGGGCAGUUUAAUCUUGCCAUUGUGAAACCGUUUUGAUCAAAAUAU